UGAGGAAUAUUGGUCAAUGGGCGCUAGCCUGAACCAGCCAAGUAGCGUGAAGGAUGACUGCCCUAUGGGUUGUAAACUUCUUUUAUAUGGGAAUAAAGUGCAGUAUGUAUACUGCUUUGCAUGUACCUUAUGAAUAAGGAUCGGCUAACUCCGUGCCAGCAGCCGCGGUAAUACGGAGGAUCCGAGCGUUAUCCGGAUUUAUUGGGUUUAAAGGGAGCGUAGGCGGGUUGUUAAGUCAGUUGUGAAAGUUUGCGGCUCAACCGUAAAAUUGCAGUUGAUACUGGCAUCCUUGAGUACAGUAGAGGUAGGCGGAAUUCGUGGUGUAGCGGUGAAAUGCUUAGAUAUCACGAAGAGCUCCGAUUGCGAAGGCAGCCUGCUGGACUGUAACUGACGCUGAUGCUCGAAAGUGUGGGUAUCAAACAGG
rnacentral:rRNA from 1 species